CCUACGGGUGGCAGCAGGGAGGAAUAUUGGUCAAUGGUCGGGAGACUGAACCAGCCAAGCCGCGGGAGGGAUGAAGGUACAGAGGAGUGUAAACCUCUUUUGUCAGGGAACAAAGGCGGGGACGUGUCCCCGGAUGAGUGUACCUGAAGAAAAAGCAUCGGCUAACUCCGUGCCAGCAGCCGCGGUAAUACGGUGGAGUCGAGCGUUAUCCGGUUUUAGUGGGUUUAAAGGGUGCGCAGGCGGGCUGUUAAGUCAGCGGUCAAAGCCCGGGGCUCAACCCCGGCCCGCCGUUGAAACUGGCAGGCUCGAGUUGGGGUGAGGUAGGCGGAAUGCGCGGUGUAGCCGUGACAUGCAUAGAUAUCGCGCAGAACUCCGAUUGCGAAGGCAGCAUGCCGGCUCCACACUGACGCUGAGGCACGAAAGCGUGGGUAUCGAACAGGAUUAGAUACCCGAGUAGUC
rnacentral:rRNA from 1 species